UGAGGCCAGUGAUGUCUUGAUAUAUUGCCGACAUUGGCUGAUUAUCUGAUUUUAGAUAAUGACGUGUCCAAAUUAUCUGAGGCCUCA